ACUCAGAGAUCAUCCAGAGCUCUGAGAUAAUAAUAGAGAGCCCCUGACUAAGCCAGCCCUGAUUACAGAAUGGGCCCUACCUGAGAGAAAUUAGGUGAUUUCAGGUUUAACUACUGAGUGGGCCCAGCUGAGGAAGGGCUGAAGGAAAGAGAAUGCAGGGAGUCAAAAGGUGCCUGUAGGGUCUUGAGUGAGCACCCAGGGAGCAGAUUGGGAGACCUAGAAGGGAAGUAAAGAGGUGAGGAAGGAAAUGGUGCAGGGAAAACUGCACUAUGGGUAGAGGAUUUGACUUAGCUGUGCAGUAUAGGGCCCUGGGCUGUAACCCAGAAUUGAGGUUGGGACUGGAUUUCCCUACCAGUCCCAAGGAAGUGGCGUAUAAGGGUAGCUGAGCCCAGCGAGGGGGCUGCAGGCUGAAUGUGAUGUCGCUGAAGAAGAGCUGUGCAGAGGGUGGAAGCUUUUUAUUUCUGUUAAGAUAGUUUUGAACUUUAGUUUGGAUAGCUGACCCUGGAAGGAACGGGCUAAAGACUGUGCCCUGACUGGAGGGAUGAGUUAUCUGAAAGAAACCACCACAGUCCAGAGUGACUGUUGACAAGGGCUGCUACCCCACAAGGACACUGUCAUGCCAUGCCUGGCCAGGAGGAAGUGCAGAGUGGUAUAAAGACCAAGUCCUGGAAAGUCUUGAUAGAGGAUCUUAAACAGCAUAGUGUAGAGACCAUCCAACCAGAGAUCCCUCCAGAGCACCUGAUGGGUAUCCAAUACCAGCAUAUGUUAGUCAUGAUGCCAGUUUGCAUGGGGGCCCACAAAGCAAUGUAAACAGAUAAGUUAAUUGGAGUUCUGCUGUCAUGACAUGACAUGAAAAAUCAAGCUGGCCAGAUGCUGAUCAGUGUAUAUAACAGAAAUGGAGAAACUUUAUUAGCUUGAACAGAAUUAUUCUGAAUCAAUUCAUCUUAGGAGAGUUCUCUGUUCUUGGGGAGAGAAAAAUCUGAGAAAGGCAGUUUACUAGUGAGGGGGAAAGCCUAGGAUAUGGGAGACAUUAAUUCAUUUACCUCUCUACAGAGGAAGAAUCAGUGAGUGGCAUCUGUCCCCCUCCCCACCUUUGGGGAUUGGCUAGCUUUUCACAGUGUAAAAUCAGGAACCUGGGAGAAGGGUUUUGGUGAGAGACCAAGGAAGCUGGCACACUAGGAGGAAAAAUGCUGCCUGUUCGCUGUCGUGCUGUCUGGAGCGGCUCACAACUGUCAGUACCUACC